CAGCCGCCACGGGAAUACGAAGGGGGCUAGCGUUGUUCGGAUUUACUGGGCGUAAAGGGCGCGUAGGCGGACUGAUAAGUCAGGGGUGAAAUCCCAAGGCUCAACCUUGGAACUGCCUUUGAUACUGUUUGUCUUGAGUUCGAGAGAGGUAAGUGGAACUGCGAGUGUAGAGGUGAAAUUCGUAGAUAUUCGCAUGGACACCAGUGGCGAAGGCGGCUUACUGGCUCGAUACUGACGCUGAGGCGCGAAAGCGUGGAGAGCAAACAGGAUUAGAUACCCCAGUAGUCCCUGUCUCUUAUAA
rnacentral:rRNA from 1 species